AAACAUGACCUUUGGGAACCGUUUUCUCACAGCACUAGGGGAGAAAAAACAAGUUGAUUAAAUUUAUCAUGUGGGAGCUGUCUAAGAGAAAAAAAAUUGGAGGGGGAGGGAGGCAGAAUUCCCUCAAUGUAAACCUAUCAAGAUUCAACUAACAAAAAUGAAGGAGGGUGAGACAGAAUUCCUUCAAUGUAACCUAUCAAGAUUCAACUAACAAAAAUAAAUGAAUAGACAAAAGUUUAAGCCAGGAACAUUUACAUUUUAGAGCCAAUCAUUUUACUUCAUGGGGAGGAGACAAUACAAGGUGAGAACAUUACAGUUCUAAUAAACCAAACUAAACAAGGAAGUGAUUUCUGGUGUCAAUGCCAGAUAUUAGGAUUUACAAGUCUUCAGUACCUUUUUCAGGAAUGUCAUCACAGAAAAAAAAAAAAACAUGGAGAAAAUUAAUAUGAUUUCUUUUCUCUUCAGGAAAAUGCACAAGAUUUGAAGCAUGGUAAAUAUAUACACAUAAAACUAGAUUAACCCCUGCACUCCGGCAACGCCGACGUCAUCACCGUAUGGAAAGGGUUAGUCCUCUUCUAAACCUCUUAAUCCUCUUCCAUUUCCUCUUAAUACUCUUUUAAACCUUUUAAGAGGAAAUGGAAGAAGAUUAAGAGGAAUUUAGAGGAGGAUUGAGAGGUUUAGAAGAGGAUUAAUCCUCUUCCAUUUCCUCUUGACCCUUUCCAUACUGUGAUGCUGACGUCUGCGUCACGGAUGGACUAACUUUAUCACAACCCUUUCUCCAUAUUUAUUUGAGUUAAAAUGAGUUUAAAUGAAGUCCACUAUAUUUCAAGCAGAUUCCCCUCUUGUGCCAGAAAAAAAUCUUGAAAUCUUGUGUGUGUGUGUGUGUGUGUGUGUGUGUGGGUGUGCACAACCACACUGGAUUUAUAACAAAUUAAGUGCCAGUAUCCAACGUGAUCUGCAUUCAUUAAUGCAAAGGGAUUAAAAUGUAUUUAUUUUCUGAAUGGCAAUAGACUAAAAUAGGCAAAGGACAAGGGCUAAUCAAAAAAUAAAUAAAUAAAAAAAAAAUCAUAAAAAAAACAGCAAAACUAAUUAAUUUCCCUUUGUUAUUUUAAUAAUUUGCUGCCAAAAUAUUGUUUAAAUAAUUGUUAUAACUUAUAAUAACUCAGCUCUGAUAUCUUUUGCCUCUUUUGUUGAAUGCCACCUCUCUAGCACUGGGAGUGCAAAGUUUGGAGAGGAAACAAUCCUUGAAUGUUAACUUUAUGAGGCUAGCAGAAUAUAAAAUGUUUUGUCUAAUUACAUUAAGAGGUACAGGGUCAAUACAAAUAUAUACAAACAAUGCCCGUCUUCUCAGUUCAGCUAAAAGAGAUGGGUAGACGGCUAGGAAACUUUCCCCAAUAUUUUUUUUACUCCCAUAACACAUGCUGCCAUGUAUACAUCUACCUACUUAAAAUUCAGACAAGGUUUUUUUUUUUUUUUUUUUUUUUUUCUGGGAUACGUCUGAGACAUUCAUUAAUUUCCUCUUCGAGCAUUAAGACGUCACUGCUACCUAAAGGAUCUUCAAAAUUGAGCACACACAAAUAUAUAUAUAUAUAUAUAUAUAUAUAUAUAUAUAUAUAUAUAUAUAUAUAUAUAUAUAUAUAUAUAUAUAUAUAUAUAUAUAUAUAUAUAUUAAAAUAAAUUUUGCAGACCCGCAGAUCCUGUAACUUACUUAAGGCUCGUUUUGAGGAACUGAUACAUAGCAUAAUGUAAUUCAAGAGUUUAAAUUAUACAGUUUACUAAUUACUAUUAGUUUAAUGGAGAUACCCAGACAUAAGAAAGUUUAAUGUAAUAAAUUCCACUGAAUUAAUGACAUGACAUACAGUUGUACAUACUUAGUAAAAAGUAGUCAGACAAAACAAAAAUAUUAAAAAGAAGCCAGCAGCAUGCUGCUCCUGUUAAAAAGUAAACAUGACUAAACUGAGAAGACUUUAUUUUGGUUGAAGGUUCUUCAUAGUCCCCUCUUGAAUUAAUUUAAAUCAUAGAGUAAAAUAAAUAUAGACAAAGAAAGGCUUUUUCAGAAGUUAAUCAGUGAAAGGGAUAAAGAAUGCAGAUACUGGUUAACUUUUGAAUUAGUACAUUGGCCUGUGCAGUAAUGAACUUGAGUAAAGUCUUUGUGCAGCAGUCACAUGAAUAAUGGAGGCAUGUGGCUAGCAAUUUUCAAACAAAGACAGAAUAAAAUGAGCAAUAAAAGAUAGCAAAGGAGGCAGCAUUGCAGCAAACUUCAAAAGAGUGAAGAGUCAGAAAGAGAAUUCAUAAGAAACAGCCUUGAUAUUUUUCUAAGUUACUAAUAACAAACAAAAGUGGCCUGUAUGACUUUUCCAUAUUUGCAUUCUUAUAGAACAAGCAUCUAGGGAAAAAAAUCUCACCACAUUAUAAAAUUUAGGUGAUGGCUAUAUAAUGUUGUAUUGCAGGUUCAGGUAAUGUAUUUAAAUCUAGAUGUGUAGAAGACUACCUUAUAAUCUUGAGGUAUGGGAGACUGCUUCAUAAUUGUGGUAAGAAUAUUAACUGCAUAAUCUUAGUAUAGAUGGUGGCUUUAUAAUCUUAUAGUAUGGAUGAUGGCUUCACAAACUUGUGGAUGAAUAAGUUAAUGGUGUGGAUGAUGACUUCAUAAUCCAGUGCUGUUGCUCAUGGCUUCAUAAUCUUGUGGUGAGGAUGAUGGCUUCAUAAUCUUGUGGUGAGGAUGAUGGCUUCAUAAUCUUGUGGUGAGGAUGAUGGCUUCAUAAUCUUGUGGUGAGGAUGAUGGCUUCAUAAUCUUGGGGUAAGGAUGAUGGCUUCAUAAUCUUGUGAUAAGGAUGGUUGUAUAUUUUGUGAUGAGGAUGAAGGCUUCAUAAUCUUGGGGUGAGGAUGAUGGCUUCAUAAUCUUGUGGUGAGGAUGAUGGCUUCAUAAUAUUGUGGUGAGGAUGAUGGCUUCAUAAUCUUGUGGUGAGGAUGAUGGCUUCAUAAUCUUGUGGUGAGGAUGAUGGCUUCAUAAUCUUGUGGUGAGGAUGAUGGCUUCAUAAUCUUGUGGUGAGGAUGAUGGCUUCAUAAUCUUGUGGUGAGGAUGAUGGCUUCAUAAUCUUGGGGUGAGGAUGAUGGCUUCAUAAUCUUGUGGUGAGGAUGAUGGCUUCAUAAUCUUGGGGUGAGGAUGAUGGCUUCAUAAUCUUGUGGUGAGGAUGAUGGCUUCAUAAUCUUGGGGUGAGGAUGAUGGCUUCAUAAUCUUGGGGUGAGGAUGAUGGCUUCAUAAUCUUGGGGUGAGGAUGAUGGCUUCAUAAUCUUGGGGUGAGGAUGAUGGCUUCAUAAUCUUGGGGUGAGGAUGAUGGCUUCAUAAUCUUGGGGUGAGGAUGAUGGCUUCAUAAUCUUGGGGUGAGGAUGAUGGCUUCAUAAUCUUGGGGUGAGGAUGAAGGCUUCAUAAUACUGUCGUGAGGAUGAUGGCCUCAUAAUCUUGGGGUGAGGAUGAUGGCUUCAUAAUCUUGUGAUAAGGAUGGUUGUAUAUUUUGUGAUGAGGAUGAAGGCUUCAUAAUCUUGGGGUGAGGAUGAAGGCUUCAUAAUCUUGUGGUAAGGAUGAAGGCUUCAUAAUCUUGUGGUAAGGAUGAAGGCUUCAUAAUCUUGGGGUAAGGAUGAUGGCUUCAUAAUCUUGUGAUAAGGAUGGUUGUAUAUUUUGUGAUGAGGAUGAAGGCUUCAUAAUCUUGUGGUAAGGAUGAAGGCUUCAUAAUCUUGGGGUAAGGAUGAUGGCUUCAUAAUCUUGUGAUAAGGAUGGUUGUAUAUUUUGUGAUGAGGAUGAAAGCUUCAUAAUCUUGGGGUGAGGAUGAUGGCUUCAUAAUGUUGUGCUGUGGAUGAUGGCUUCAUAAUGUUGUGCUGUGGAUGAUGGCUUCAUAAUGUUGUGCUGUGGAUGAUGGCUUCAUAAUGUUGUGCUGUGGAUGAUGGCUUCAUAAUGUUGUGCUGUGGAUGAUGGCUUCAUAAUGUUGUGCUGUGGAUGAUGGCUUCAUAAUGUUGUGCUGUAGAUGAUGGCUUCAUUAUCUUGGGGUGAAGGUGAUGGCUUCAUAAUGUUGUGCUGUGGAUGAUGGCUUCAUAAUCUUGGGGUGAAGGUGAUGGCUUCAUAAUGUUGUGCUGUGGAUGAUGGCUUCAUAAUGUUGUGCUGUGGAUGAUGGCUUCAUAAUGUUGUGCUGUGGAUGAUGGCUUCAUAAUGUUGUGCUGUGGAUGAUGGCUUCAUAAUGUUGUGCUGUGGAUGAUGGCUUCAUAAUGUUGUGCUGUGGAUGAUGGCUUCAUAAUGUUGUGCUGUGGAUGAUGGCUUCAUAAUGUUGUGCUGUAGAUGAUGGCUUCAUUAUCUUGGGGUGAAGGUGAUGGCUUCAUAAUGUUGUGCUGUGGAUGAUGGCUUCAUAAUCUUGUGUUAAAGAUGGUUUUGCAAACUUGUAGCUUCAUAAUUUGUUGAUGUAGGUGAUGUCUUCUCAAUCUUGCAACAUAGAUGACUGCAUAUCUUGUGAUAAGGACGAUGGCUUAAUAAUGUUAUGCUGUGGAAGAUGACUUCAUAAUAUUGUGGAAAGGGUGAAGGUUGGACAAACUUGUUGGUCCUUAAAAAUUAGAGGACAUCAACAUGAUUUUUUUUUUACUCUAAAUAUUCAUAGUAACAUUAUGAUUAUGAAUAUGUAUUCAUAUUUCCCUACAGAUUGUAAGAGGAUACUGAGAAGGAUGAAGCCCCAAAAUUAUCAGAGAUUGAUGUUAUCUAAAUAAUUUUGCCCAAUGUAUCCAUCAAGUGAUUACUUUUGAAGAAAUGUACUGUGCACCUGCAUCUGCAGGAAACAAGGUUGGUGAUGAUGGCAAACCAUAUUAUGAAACAAGUUUCAUAAUAUGGUAGAAAAAAAAAAUAAAAAUAAAAAAAAAAAAAAAAUCUACCUUGGGUCUAUAAAUGAUGGGGCUUCAUUAUCUUGUAUUAUUGAAGACGGCUAUAUUUUUUAUGAUAGUAAAGAUGAUGUUAGUAACAACAAUUUCAUAUAAUGGUAAAAACAUCUUAUAACUUAAUGCUAAAGAUUAUGG